GCGAAGAGGUCACACCCGUUCCCAUACCGAACACGGAAGUUAAGCUCUUCAGCGCCAAUGGUAGUUGGGGGUUUCCCCCUGUGAGAGUAGGACGCCGCCAAGC
rnacentral:rRNA from 1 species